rnacentral:tRNA from 1 species
GGAGGUGAGCCGCUGGAACGGCAUGACGACGGGCUCCAGACCCGUAGGUCGCCGGUUCAAAUCCGGCCAGCCCCACCA